UACAGAGGUCCCGAGCGUUGUUCGGAUUCAUUGGGCGUAAAGGGUGCGUAGGCGGCGGGGCCAGUCUGAUGUGAAAUCCCGGGGCUCAACCCCGGAACUGCAUUGGAUACUGCCUGGCUAGAGUACUGGAGAGGGAACUGGAAUUUACGGUGUAGCAGUGAAAUGCGUAGAGAUCGUAAGGAAGGCCAGUGGCGAAGGCGAGUUCCUGGACAGUGACUGACGCUGAGGCACGAAGGCCAGGGGAGCAAACGGG
rnacentral:rRNA from 1 species